UGAUAAUGAUGAGGGCAAUUUCUGAGCAUACUCUUAAAUCUCUCCCAAGUUUGGUAGAGAUUCUCUCCUUCUAUCUAUCUGAAACUCAAAAUCUUGCUUCUCAAAUG
rnacentral:snoRNA from 1 species